rnacentral:rRNA from 1 species
GACGGAGGGUGCAAGCGUUGUUCGGAAUUACUGGGCGUAAAGCGUACGUAGGCGGCGGGUUAAGUCGAAUGUUAAAGCCUGGGGCUCAACCCCAGAGAUGCACUCGAUACUGGCUUGCUAGAGGGUGAUAGAGGAAAGCGGAAUUCCCAGUGUAGCGGUGAAAUGCGUAGAUAUUGGGAGGAACAUCAGUAGCGAAGGCGCUUUCUGGGUCACACCUGACGCUGAGGUACGAAAGCGUGGGGAGCAAACGGGG